CCUGUGCUGCUUUCAGGGCCGCCGCAAUGCCGUUGUUCUCCAAUUUCCAAUUGUACAUCUGGGUGUUAUGGAAGGCUUGGAAUCGUUCCCUCAUUUGGAUUGCUGACCCCUCCUGGUUUUUAAGAGCUUCUGCCAACUUUGUCAAUUCAAUGCGAAGCUUCUCUGUUUGAGCCCUCUCAAUUUCCAGUUGACUUUCCAAUUCAAUCUCUGUGUUAGUUUUAGCCAGCUUCAUUUCAGCACUGACCUUCAACAUCCAUUCCAGUUGACCCUUCAAUUCCAAGUUCUCCUUAGAGAUAGUCUCUUCAAAAUUAGGCAGAAGCUGUUUUUCUCCCUUCAUUUUCAAGUCUACACACUGGAUCUUGGUCUUGGGUGUCUGUCCCUCGACAUCACCCUGGGUCUUUUGCAGCUUGGGCCGGCUGGCUUUUAGCUGCGUUUUUUGGCAUAUCUCCUUUUGCACUUCUCCAGUCUUUUUUUCAGGGAGAAGAUCAAGGAACUGUUGCAAUCUGUCCUCGUCAAUCUGAAGGAGAACUCUCCCCUCACAUUGAGUUUGGCCAUAUGAAAGCAGUUGGAUUUGUGGAGAAAGUCAAACUACAACAUCGCCAGUGAAGGAUGAGAAGUUCAUGCUGAAACAUGUAAAAAUCAGUCCAGGAGCCACCUUGACAGAGCCGAGGGUUCAGCCGCUCAUUACUGAAGCGGAGGAAGAGGAAGGCGUCCAGGGGUCUUUGACUGCAGAGGUGAGG
ensembl:lncRNA